UUGUUGGACGCUAGCGGCGGAUGGGUGAGUAACACGUGGGCAAUCUGCCCUAAAGACUGGGAUACCACUUGGAAACAGGUGCUAAUACCGGAUAACAACAUGAAUCGCAUGAUUCAAGUUUGAAAGGCGGCGCAAGCUGUCACUUUAGGAUGAGCCCGCGGCGCAUUAGCUAGUUGGUGGGGUAAAGGCCUACCAAGGCAAUGAUGCGUAGCCGAGUUGAGAGACUGAUCGGCCACAUUGGGACUGAGACACGGCCCAAACUCCUACGGGAGGCAGCAGUAGGGAAUCUUCCACAAUGGACGCAAGUCUGAUGGAGCAACGCCGCGUGAGUGAAGAAGGUUUUCGGAUCGUAAAGCUCUGUUGUUGGUGAAGAAGGAUAGAGGCAGUAACUGGUCUUUAUUUGACGGUAAUCAACCAGAAAGUCACGGCUAACUACGUGCCAGCAGCCGCGGUAAUACGUAGGUGGCAAGCGUUGUCCGGAUUUAUUGGGCGUAAAGCGAGCGCAGGCGGAAUGAUAAGUCUGAUGUGAAAGCCCACGGCUCAACCGUGGAACUGCAUCGGAAACUGUCAUUCUUGAGUGCAGAAGAGGAGAGUGGAAUUCCAUGUGUAGCGGUGGAAUGCGUAGAUAUAUGGAAGAACACCAGUGGCGAAGGCGGCUCUCUGGUCUGCAACUGACGCUGAGGCUCGAAAGCAUGGGUAGCGAACAGGAUUAGAUACCCUGGUAGUCCAUGCCGUAAACGAUGAGCGCUAGGUGUUGGGGACUUUCCGGUCCUCAGUGCCGCAGCAAACGCAUUAAGCG
rnacentral:rRNA from 1 species